GUGUUGAGGCUCAGUGGUAGAGUGCUUACCCAGCAUGUGUGAGGCACUGAGUUCGAUUCUCAGCACCCCA
rnacentral:tRNA from 1 species